rnacentral:rRNA from 1 species
GAGUUUGAUCCUGGCUCAGAACGAACGCUGGCGGCGUGCCUAACACAUGCAAGUCGCGCGAGAAAAUGGGGGCAACUCCAUGAGUACAGCGGCGCACGGGUGAGUAACACGUAGGUAACCUACCUUCGAGACCGGGAUAACCUUCCGAAAGGAGGGCUAAUACCGGAUGAGACCACGGGAUCUUGGUCCUGCGGUCAAAGGUGGCCUCUGCAUGCAAGCUAUUACUCGAAGAUGGGCCUGCGGACCAUUAGCUAGUUGGUGAGGUAACGGCUCACCAAGGCGACGAUCAGUAGCUGGUCUGAGAGGAUGAUCAGCCACAUUGGGACUGAGACACGGCCCAAACUCCUACGGGAGGCAGCAGUGGGGAAUAUUGGACAAUGGGCGCAAGCCUGAUCCAGCCAUGCCGCGUGAGUGAUGAAGGCCCUAGGGUUGUAAAGCUCUUUUGUGCGGGAAGAUAAUGACGGUACCGCAAGAAUAAGCCCCGGCUAACUUCGUGCCAGCAGCCGCGGUAAUACGAAGGGGGCUAGCGUUGCUCGGAAUCACUGGGCGUAAAGGGUGCGUAGGCGGGUCUUUAAGUCAGGGGUGAAAUCCUGGAGCUCAACUCCAGAACUGCCUUUGAUACUGAGGAUCUUGAGUCCGGGAGAGGUGAGUGGAACUGCGAGUGUAGAGGUGAAAUUCGUAGAUAUUCGCAAGAACACCAGUGGCGAAGGCGGCUCACUGGCCCGGUACUGACGCUGAGGUGCGAAAGCGCGGGGAGCAAACAGGAUUAGAUACCCUGGUAGUCCACGCCGUAAACGAUGGAUGCUAGAUGUUUCCGGUAUUGACCCCGGAGGUGUCGUAGCUAACGCGUUAAGCAUCCCGCCUGGGGAGUACGGCCGCAAGGCUAAAACUCAAAGGAAUUGACGGGGGCCCGCACAAGCGGUGGAGCAUGUGGUUCAAUUCGACGCAACGCGAAGAACCUUACCUGGGUUGGAACCCUCCAGAAGUCCGCAGAGAUGUGGAUGUGCUCGCAAGAGAACUGGAUGUCCAGGUGCUGCAUGGCUGUCGUCAGCUCGUGUCGUGAGAUGUUGGGUUAAGUCCCGCAACGAGCGCAACCCUUGCCUCCUGUUGCCAACAGGUAAAGCUGGGCACUCUGGAGAGACUGCCGGUGACAAACCGGAGGAAGGUGGGGACGACGUCAAAUCAUCAUGCCCCUUAUGUCUUGGGCUUCACACGUGCUACAAUGGGCGGUACAAAGGGCUGCGAACCCGUGAGGGGAAGCCAAUCCCAAAAAGCCGCUCUCAGUUCGGAUUGGAGUCUGCAACUCGACUCUAUGAAGGCGGAAUCGCUAGUAAUCGCGGAUCAGCACGCCGCGGUGAUACGUUCCCGGGCCUUGCACACAC